UACGUAGGGUGCGAGCGUUGUCCGGAAUUAUUGGGCGUAAAGAGCUCGUAGGCGGUCUGUCGCGUCUGCUGUGAAAACCCGAGGCUCAACCUCGGGCCUGCAGUGGGUACGGGCAGACUAGAGUGCGGUAGGGGAGAAUGGAACUCCUGGUGUAGCGGUGGAAUGCGCAGAUAUCAGGAAGAACACCGAUGGCGAAGGCAGUUCUUUGGGCCGUAACUGACGCUGAGGAGCGAAAGCGUGGGGAGCGAACAGG
rnacentral:rRNA from 1 species